GCAUAUAAUCUUUAAUAAAUCAAAACAAAACAUUUACAAUAAAUGCUCAAAAUGCCUGGCUCUGACCAUAAUACAUAAUCUGUACCGUCUAAUAAAAUUCCCAAGUAACCUACGGAAUGCACCUCUGUUGUUAGUAACUUGUACUCUAGCAAAUUCGAGUUUUUUUCGUAGUUCUUGUUCGCUAUUGUUCUCUCUUUGAUAAACUAUUUCCUUUAAUAGCCUCAACGAAAAAAAUCUAAUGGAUUUCAAUCGCAAUAGGUCCGCCUCGACCAAUCCACCGGUUGGGGAGUGCUCGUACAAAUGAUCUCUCUCUCUCUGCUCGAGCAGUAUUAAUACAAAAUCUGCACCGUCUAAUAAAAUUCCCACAUAACCUACAGAAUGCACAUCUGUUGUAAGUAACUUGUACUCUAGCAAAUUCGAGUUUUUGUCGUAGUUUUCUUGUUCGCUAUUGUUCUCUUUUUGAUAAACUAUUUCCUUUAAUAGCCUCAAAGAAAAAAAUCUAAUGGAUUUAAAUCGCAAUAGGUCCGUCUCGACCAAUCCACCGGUUGGGGAGUGCUCGUACAAAUGAUCUCUCUCUCUGCUCGAGCAGUAUUAAUACAAAAUCUGCACCGUCUAAUAAAAUUCCCACAUAACCUACAGAAUGCACCACUGUUGUAAGUAACUUGUACUCUAGCAAAUUCGAGUUUUUGUCGUAGUUCUUGUUCGCUAUUGUUCUCUUUUUGAUAAACUAUUUCCUUUAAUAGCCUCAAAGAAAAAAAUCUAAUGGAUUUAAAUCGCAAUAGGUCCGUCUCGACCAAUCCACCGGUUGGGGAGUGCUCGUACAAAUGAUCUCUCUCUCUCUCGUCUACUCGAGCGUAGUGACGAUGGGCGCCGUCGUGUUGCAGCCACAUUUCUGCUAUUAUUGCUUCUGGAACUCCAACUUCGUUAAGAAUAUGGUUUAAAUUAUUUCGUAAAAAAAUUAAAUAUAUAGCACCAUUCAUGCAGCACCAACUGCUGGCCAAUUAUACCAGCCCACAUGCGUAAUCCAAACAGAUAGUCGAACCAAUAAUUUCUUAUGAUAUGGCGGUUCCAUCUGGAGUAAAGAUUUAGGUUUUGGAUAUUGAAUACUACCAUUCUUCUAAAAUUUGACUCAUCUACCUGUUGAUAAAUUGAUACCUUGUUGAUAAAUUGCGGAUCCUCUGUGUUAUCGUAACAUCUCUCUGCAAUCUCUUGCUCUAGGUUCAUAGUCACCGGGCAGCAAAGCUUGCACUCUCUGCACGUGAUAGGCAAGAUAUUUGUUUCUUUUAAUCAUAUGUUGCACCGUCGAUCUUGGAAUCCCGAGAUUACGGGAUAUUUGGCGUUGACUAAUUCAGGAUCCAAUCUUAAUUCUAUCAGCACUUCAUCGUCAUUUUUAAAUCGCAGCACCAGACCAUCUGUCUGCUCUCGGAGCAUGCUGACCGGGUAAGACUCCCUCCAUGUACGAAAUAUGUACGCGCCUAAAGAUACUGCAGUCCGUGUAUUAUUGCCAAAGAAUCUUCUUUUUUCAUAACAUUUUAUAUUAAUAUUACUAAUCAAAUAUUAAACAAACUAAUACUAAUCAACCCAAGGUGACUCUCCACCUCCAGUUCGUAUCAGACUAAGGUAGGGGUUAGUGUGGCAAGAUGGGGUACUUAAGCUCUAAAGAUCAAUAAUAUAAAAAAAUGCAUAGUGAAACAAUUGAAACAUAGUGUUCAGCGUUUUUCUUUUUCUGGGCGAUGACUUCUAAUUUUUGUUUGUAGGG